GGUAGGUAGUUGGGGCGCCAACACUUGGCGCCCCCUUAGGGUUUUCAAGCAAGAGAGAAGGAGCGUGGCCCCUCUUUCUUUCUCCUUCCACGCCAAUGCACGAGGGAGGUGGGCCCCUCUCUCUUCCUCACGCCAUUCCAAGGUUGGCGCUUCUUGGAUUUUUCAAAAAAGAGGCAUGGCGCCAUCUCUUCUUUCCUAUAAUUUCACACAUAAUAUUAGAAAAUAAAUGAGAAUAUAAUGAGG
rnacentral:lncRNA from 1 species